rnacentral:tRNA from 2 species
GGGGCCGUGGGGUAGCCUGGUCUAUCCUCCGCGGCUGGGGGCCGCGGGACCCCGGUUCAAAUCCGGGCGGCCCCA